rnacentral:rRNA from 1 species
GACGAACGCUGGCGGCGUGCUUAACACAUGCAAGUCGAACGGUGAAGCGCCUUCCUUUUUGGUGGGUGUGGAUGAGUGGCGAACGGGUGAGUAACACGUGAGUAACCUGCCCCCUUCUUCUGGAUAACCGCAUGAAAGUGUGGCUAAUACGGGAUAUUCUGGGUCUGUCGCAUGAUGGGUCUGGGAAAGAUAUUGUUUCGGUGGGGGAUGGGCUCGCGGCCUAUUAGCUUGUUGGUGGGGUGAUGGCCUACCAAGGCGGUGACGGGUAGCCGGCCUGAGAGGGUGGACGGUCACACUGGUACUGAGACACGGCCCAGACUCCUACGGGAGGCAGCAGGGGGGAAUAUUGCACAAUGGGCGCAAGGCUGAUGCAGCGACGCCGCGUGGGGGAUGGAGUCCUGCGGGUUGUGAACUUCUUUCGCCAGUGAAGCAGGCCUGCCUCGUUUGUGGGUGGGUUGACGGUAGCUGGAGAAGAAGCGCCGGCUAACUACGUG